rnacentral:rRNA from 1 species
CCUACGGGACGCAGCAGUGGGGGAUAUUGCACAAUGGGGGAAACCCUGAUGCAGCGACGCCGCGUGGACGAAGAAGUAUUUCGGUAUGUAAAGUCCUAUCAGCAGGGAAGAAGAAAUGACGGUACCUGACUAAGAAGCCCCGGCUAACUACGUGCCAGCAGCCGCGGUAAUACGUAGGGGGCAAGCGUUAUCCGGAUUUACUGGGUGUAAAGGGUGCGUAGGUGGCAGGGCAAGUCAGAUGUGAAAGCCCGGGGCUCAACCCCGGUACUGCAUUUGAAACUGUCCAGCUGGAGUGCAGGAGAGGG